UUCUUCCAGGCCUUAGAACUGAUGGAUCAAUUUGAUCUUUGCUGUUCAUAGUGAAUAUCAUAACUCGUUCGUCACCGCAGCAUGAAAAAAUUCCGUCCAUGAAAUUGAGAAUCGCAGAGAAGCUUAGAGCUGUUGAGUUGUUACACAGGUAACUGUCGAGAUCUCCGAUAACAAUCACCGACUUAUUCGUGCUCUGCAAUAGAAGUAGUUUCAGAUCUGAAUCGUCUGAAAGUUUUGAUAAAUCAAUGUUAUACACAUUGUAACUUAGGAAAUUUGCCAUUGCUGCAAUGAACGUUGAUUUUCCUGUUCCGGAAGGUCCGUGAAGUAAAUAAUUCCGUUUCCAAAUCCGGCCGAUUCGGUUAUAAUGCUGCUUUGAUUUUAGGAACGUUUCCAAAUCGGAUUUGACCUUGUUCUUCAAAUCCUGUUCCAUUACAACAGUGUCAAAUGUCGCCGGAUGAGUAAACGGCACUGAUAUCCACCGUCUGUUUCC
rnacentral:lncRNA from 1 species